CCCGUCACAUCACGAAAGCAGGUUGCACUAGAAGUCGCCGAGCUAACCCGCAAGGGAUGCCAGUGCCCAAGGUGUGGCUUGUGAUUGGGGUG
rnacentral:rRNA from 1 species